UUGCCAAUUGGAGAAUAUGCAGCAGUAACUCUUGUAAUGUUCUUUGGCCUCAAGUCAAUAAAAGAUGCAUGGGACCUUCCAUCAAAUGUAGGUAAGAGUGGACCUAAACUUGAUGAAUUUGUGGAGGCUGAGGAGUUUGUGAAGGAAAAGGUGGUCUUUCUAAAGCCUGCCUUCUCUUAAGGUUUUUCCAGAAAUGAAUUUCUUAUUUUUAUUGAUGCUGUGUUUAAUGUCUUCAGGUGUCAAAACGACUCUCAAACCCACUUGAAAUCGUCUGGAAGUCAUUUAGCCUUGUGUUCUUUGCUGUAAGCAUCUUCUUUUAGCAACACCUAAUUAUAACUAAAAGAUAUAUGCUUGCUUUCAUUAUGGUUAGUCAAUCCAAAAUCUGAAACUAUGAUGCAGCCUAUAAAAAAGUGAAAUUUGAAACCGAGACAUGGUCUUGGUGAUCCGAAUUUUGUAAAAUUGUUGCAAAUCCAACUUUUAGCCCCCUAUCCUUGUGUCU
rnacentral:lncRNA from 1 species